rnacentral:rRNA from 1 species
UAGGGAAUCUUCGGCAAUGGACGAAAGUCUGACCGAGCAACGCCGCGUGAGUGAAGAAGGUUUUCGGAUCGUAAAACUCUGUUGUUAGAGAAGAACAAGGACGUUAGAAACUGAACGUCCCCUGACGGUAUCUAACCAGAAAGCCACGGCUAACUCCGUGCCAGCAGCCGCGGUAAUACGGAGGGUGCAAGCGUUAAUCGGAAUUACUGGGCGUAAAGCGCACGCAGGCGGUUUGUUAAGUCAGAUGUGAAAUCCCCGGGCUCAACCUGGGAACUGCAUCUGAUACUGGCAAGCUUGAGUCUCGUAGAGGGGGGUAGAAUUCCAGGUGUAGCGGUGAAAUGCGUAGAGAUCUGGAGGAAUACCGGUGGCGAAGGCGGCCCCCUGGACGAAGACUGACGCUCAGGUGCGAAAGCGUGGGGAGCAAACAGG